ACUGACCUGAGGACGAGUGGAUGACAAGGUGGUAGGGAUACAUGACAGCGUGCCCAGUGUUCGGAGGCAAAGGCUCAUCUACAGCACACGUGUACUUCAAGCCAAAGUUCAGGACUCUUGUCACAGAGAACUAUUUGAGAGUAGGCCUAUUACGACUUGUCAGCUUUUGAGUUUGAGUAAAGAGACGCACAUAGACUCAACAAAGAUCGCACAGUGAGGGGAAGAAGCAAGACGGAAAGACAGAAACCACGGAGAGAAAGAAAAAAAAAUAGUAGUUACCAGUGGCACCCUCUAACCACUCGCUUGUUAGCAAAAGCAUAUUAGAACCUCAGCUAGUAAGAGUUUGAAGUACCAUGUCUUGUCUCGUGAUAUGAUUUUACCCAACGGUGUGGUUCCCAUCUUCUUAGAUGGUUCUAUAAGGGUCCCAUGCCGAGGCUUUCUAGCUGUUAGAGGUUGUACCAACUCUGGAACUCCCAUUGUGUAGCCUUGUCCAGUCUACAGAAGCUUCUUUUUGACAGAAACGGCGCGAGAAAGACCAUUUCGUUUCUUCCCAAACCAUUACUGCGUAUUUUCCGAAACCUGUAUGCCAGGGGAAGCCACGUAUUGGUAAUUUCAUGGAUUAAAAACAUUUCAAGAAAAAAGCAUACAAAACAACAUCGUUAACAACAACAAUAGCAGCAACAACAACGACUACAACAACAACA